rnacentral:rRNA from 1 species
UACGUAGGUGGCAAGCGUUGUUCGGAAUUACUGGGCGUAAAGCGCACGUAGGCGGACAUUUAAGUCAGGGGUGAAAUCCCAGAGCUCAACUCCAGAACUGCCUUUGAUACUGGCGAUCUCGAGUCCGGGAGAGGUGAGUGGAAUUCCUAGUGUAGAGGUGAAAUUCGUAGAUAUUAGGAAGAACACCAGUGGCGAAGGCGGCUCACUGGCUCGGUACUGACGCUGAGGCGCGAAAGCGUGGGGAGCAAACAGG